rnacentral:rRNA from 1 species
UAGGGAAUCUUCGGCAAUGGACGGAAGUCUGACCGAGCAACGCCGCGUGAGUGAAGAAGGUUUUCGGAUCGUAAAGCUCUGUUGUAAGAGAAGAACGAGUGUGAGAGUGGAAAGUUCACACUGUGACGGUAUCUUACCAGAAAGGGACGGCUAACUACGUGCCAGCAGCCGCGGUAAUACGUAGGUCCCGAGCGUUGUCCGGAUUUAUUGGGCGUAAAGCGAGCGCAGGCGGUUAGAUAAGUCUGAAGUUAAAGGCUGUGACUUAACCAUAGUACGCUUUGGAAACUGUUUAACUUGAGUGCAAGAGGGGAGAGUGGAAUUCCAUGUGUAGCGGUGAAAUGCGUAGAUAUAUGGAGGAACACCGGUGGCGAAAGCGGCUCUCUGGCUUGUAACUGACGCUGAGGCUCGAAAGCGUGGGGAGCAAACAGGAUUAGAUACCCUGGUAGUCCACGCUGUAAACGAUGAGUGCUAGGUGUUAGACCCUUUCCGGGGUUUAGUGCCGUAGCUAACGCAUUAAGCACUCCGCCUGGGGAGUACGACCGCAAGGUUG